UGCGAAUGGCUCAUUAUAUCAGUUAUCGUUUAUUUGAUAGUACCUUACUACUUGGAUAACCGUGGUAAUUCUAGAGCUAAUACAUGCUGAAAACCCCAACUUCGGGAGGGGUGUAUUUAUUAGAUAAAAAACCAACGCCCUUCGGGGCUUCUUGGUGAUUCAUGAUAACUUUACGGAUCGCAUGGCCUUGCGCCGGCGACGGUUCAUUCAAAUUUCUGCCCUAUCAACUUUCGAUGGUAAGGUAUUGGCUUACCAUGGUUUCAACGGGUAACGGGGAAUUAGGGUUCGAUUCCGGAGAGGGAGCCUGAGAAACGGCUACCACAUCCAAGGAAGGCAGCAGGCGCGCAAAUUACCCAAUCCCGACACGGGGAGGUAGUGACAAUAAAUACUGAUACAGGGCUCUUUUGGGUCUUGUAAUUGGAAUGAGUACAAUUUAAACCUCUUAACGAGGAACAAUUGGAGGGCAAGUCUGGUGCCAGCAGCCGCGGUAAUUCCAGCUCCAAUAGCGUAUAUUAAAGUUGUUGCAGUUAAAAAGCUCGUAGUUGAAACUUGGGUCUGGCUGGCAGGUCCGCCUCACCGCGUGUACUUGUCCGGCCGGGCCUUCCUUCUGGAGAACCUCA
rnacentral:rRNA from 1 species